AACCGCCGUAUACGGAACCGUACGUACGGUGGUGUGAGAGGACGAUAAAUGAAUUAAUCAUUUAUCUCCUACUCGAU
rnacentral:ncRNA from 4 species